AUUGAACGCUGGCGGAAUGCUUUACACAUGCAAGCCGAACGGCAGCACGGACUUCGGUCUGGUGGCGAGUGGCGAACGGGUGAGUAAUGUAUCGGAACGUGCCCAGUCGUGGGGGAUAACGUAGUGAAAAUUACGCUAAUACCGCAUACGAUCUAUGGAUGAAAGCGGGGGAUCGCAAGACCUCGCGCGAUUGGAGCGGCCGAUAUCAGAUUAGGUAGUUGGUGGGGUAAAGGCCCACCAAGCCAACGAUCUGUAGCUGGUCUGAGAGGACGACCAGCCACACUGGAACUGAGACACGGUCCAGACUCCUACGGGAGGCAGCAGUGGGGAAUUUUGGACAAUGGGCGAAAGCCUGAUCCAGCCAUUCCGCGUGCAGGAUGAAGGCCCUCGGGUUGUAAACUACUUUUGUACAGAACGGAAAGGUUUCUACUAAUACUAGGAGCUCAUGACGGUACUGUAAGAAUAAGCACCGGCUAACUACGUGCCAGCCGCCGCCGCGG
rnacentral:rRNA from 1 species